rnacentral:rRNA from 1 species
UACGAAGGGGGCUAGCGUUGCUCGGAAUCACUGGGCGUAAAGGGUGCGUAGGCGGGCUUUUAAGUCAGGGGUGAAAUCCUGGAGCUCAACUCCAGAACUGCCUUUGAUACUGAAGAUCUUGAGUUCGGGAGAGGUGAGUGGAACUGCGAGUGUAGAGGUGAAAUUCGUAGAUAUUCGCAAGAACACCAGUGGCGAAGGCGGCUCACUGGCCCGAUACUGACGCUGAGGCACGAAAGCGUGGGGAGCAAACAGG